CAGCUUUGAUUUACAAUUUAGUUUUAACUUUUAAGUGUCUUUGUGAAAUUAAAUUUUUUUAGAUUUCUUUGUUACAAACUGAACCGGAUUUAAUAUUUUCCCUCAAUUUAUUUCUGCCCAAGUCUUCCUACAUUUUGCAUUUAAGGAAAUUAUGAGAAUGGCUUGAAGUAGAACCCAUGUCUUGAAAGCAUCUUGAUUAAAUCGUAACUGGAUAUGCUCGACUUCAGUCUAAGAUUUUUUGUUUGUUACGGCUUGUGAGCUCUAUUCUGACAACCCUGGACGCAUUCCUAUGGUGCUGUAUUGCAUUCUUCAGCUUUCUAUAGAUUCAAAAUUGCACAAUGUAAAUAAUCAUAGACGAGAGACUUGUGUAUAAAAUUUUAUCACGUGGUUACCAUGUAUCUUAGCCUUAGUGCGUGGCAGCCACAUUUUCGUCUGCUGUCAAAUUUUCAUCAUGCUUGCCGAUUGCAAUGAUGAUUUUGUUUUUGUUUCUUAUAAAUGAAAAUGUGUUGUGAUA